CGGCAUGCCUAAGACAUGCAAGUCGAACGAAGUGGCCCAAUGAAGAAUGCGAGCUUGCUCAAAUUCGGAUUUGGUUUACCACUUAGUGGCGCAAGGGUGAGUAACACGUGGGUAAUCUACCUUCGAGUCUGGAAUAACAGUUAGAAAUGAUUGCUAAUGCCGGAUGAAAUUGGGAACGAAAUUUCAUUCUUAUUAAAAGGAGCCUUUAAAGCUUCGCUUGAAGAUGAGCCUGCGACGUAUUAGCUAGUUGGUGGGGUAAGGGCCUACCAAGGCAACGACGCGUAGCCGACCUGAGAGGGUGAUCGGCCACACUGGGACUGAGACACGGCCCAGACUCCUACGGGAGACAGCAGUUAGGAAUAUUCGUCAAUGGGGGAAACCCUGAACGAGCAAUGCCGCGUGAAGGAUGACGGUCCUAUGGAUUGUAAACUUCUGUUGUUAGGGAAGAACGACUAGUGUAGGAAAUGACACUAGAGUGACGGUACCUUUCAAGAAAGCUCCGGCUAACUACGUG
rnacentral:rRNA from 1 species